UACGUAGGGGGCAAGCGUUGUCCGGAAUCAUUGGGCGUAAAGAGCGUGUAGGCGGCUCGGUAAGUCCGCUGUGAAAGUCCAGGGCUCAACCCUGGAAUGCCGGUGGAAACUGUCGAGCUAGAGUCCGGAAGAGGCGAGUGGAAUUCCUGGUGUAGCGGUGAAAUGCGCAGAUAUCGGGAGGAACACCAAUGGCGAAGGCAGCUCGCUGGGCCGAGUACUGACGCUGACGGAGCGAAAG
rnacentral:rRNA from 1 species